rnacentral:rRNA from 1 species
AUGAGCGCUGACGCCGCGGGCAGCAACAUCAUCAGCCGAAGAAGAAGCAGGCUGGGCGACGAAGCCAUGCCGACCCCGUCCUCCAACGCCCCCGACUCCUCGCCCUUCUCCAACGACGGCGGCGCCUCGCCGAGCGACAUCGACCGCGUGCUCCGGGGCAACGGCCGGCGCCACCACCUGCCCACGGCCGCGUCCCCCGACGCCAUGGACACGGACGUCGCCGAGCCCGCCGCGGCCUCCCUUGCCGACUGCGGCGCCCAGUCGCGCCCCGAGGGCGCGCACGCCAACAUGGACGACACCGGUGGCGGCGGGUCGGGGGGCCACGCCGCGCGGCCGCCGCUCUCCGGCCCCCGCAGCGGGUUCCGCCGCCUCGGCCUGCGCGGCAUGAAGCAGCGCCUCCUCGUCGUGGCCAACCGCCUCCCCGUCUCCGCCAAUCGCCGCGGCGAGGAUCAGUGGUCCCUGGAGAUCAGCGCCGGUGGCCUCGUCAGCGCGCUCCUCGGUGUGAAAGAUGUCGACGCGAAGUGGAUCGGCUGGGCCGGUGUGAAUGUCCCCGACGAGGUCGGCCAGCAGGCUCUCACCAAUGCACUCGCCGAGAAGAGAUGCAUACCAGUCUUCCUGGACGAGGAGAUCGUGCACCAGUACUACAACGGCUACUGCAACAACAUACUGUGGCCGCUCUUCCACUACCUCGGGCUGCCGCAGGAGGACAGGCUGGCAACCACCCGGAACUUCGAGUCGCAGUUCGACGCGUACAAGCGGGCCAACCAGAUGUUUGCUGAUGUCGUCUACCAGCACUACCAGGAAGGGGAUGUGAUCUGGUGCCAUGACUACCACCUCAUGUUCCUGCCCAGGUGCCUCAAGGAGCAUGACAUCAACAUGAAGGUCGGGUGGUUCCUGCACACGCCCUUCCCUUCCUCGGAGAUUUACCGCACUCUGCCAUCACGCUCGGAGCUGCUUCGCUCCGUGCUCUGCGCUGAUUUAGUCGGAUUUCAUACAUACGACUAUGCAAGGCAUUUCGUGAGCGCAUGUACCAGAAUACUCGGACUCGAGGGUACCCCUGAAGGUGUGGAGGACCAGGGAAAGUUAACGCGGGUUGCAGCGUUUCCUAUUGGGAUAGACUCUGAUCGUUUCAAAAGGGCGUUGGACAUUGACGCAGCAAAAAGACAUGUCAAUGAACUGAAACAGCGAUUUGCGGGACGGAAGGUAAUGCUUGGUGUUGAUCGACUUGACAUGAUCAAAGGAAUUCCACAAAAGAUUUUGGCCUUUGAAAAGUUUCUUGAGGAAAACCCUGAAUGGAUUGAUAAAGUGGUUCUACUUCAAAUUGCUGUGCCAACUAGAACUGACGUCCCUGAGUAUCAGAAGCUUACAAGCCAAGUGCAUGAAAUUGUUGGGCGCAUAAAUGGACGAUUUGGAACAUUGUCUGCUGUUCCCAUUCAUCAUCUGGAUCGAUCUCUUGAUUUCCAUGCCUUGUGUGCUCUUUAUGCAGUCACUGAUGUGGCUCUUGUAACAUCACUGAGGGAUGGCAUGAAUCUUGUAAGCUACGAAUAUGUUGCAUGCCAGGGAUCAAAAAAAGGAGUUCUGAUAUUGAGUGAGUUUGCCGGUGCAGCACAAUCGCUUGGUGCUGGUGCCAUUCUUGUAAAUCCUUGGAAUAUUACAGAAGUUGCAGACUCAAUAAAACAUGCUUUGACAAUGACAUCUGAUGAGAGGGAGAAGCGGCACAGGCAUAACUACGCGCAUGUAACAACUCAUACUGCCCAAGAUUGGGCUGAAACUUUUGUAUGUGAGCUAAACGAUACAGUUGCUGAAGCUCUGAUGAGAACAAGACAAGUUCCUCCUGACCUUCCUAGUCGAACGGCCAUCCAGCAAUAUCUGCAGUCAAAAAAUCGUUUGCUCAUAUUGGGUUUCAAUUCAACAUUGACUGAGCCAGUUGAAUCCUCUGGGAGAAGGGGCGGUGAUCAAAUCAAGGAGAUGGAACUCAAGUUGCAUCCUGACUUAAAGGGUCCUUUGAGAGCCCUCUGCGAGGACGAGAGCACUACGGUUAUCGUUCUCAGCGGAAGCGACAGGAGUGUUCUUGAUGAAAAUUUUGGAGAGUUUAACUUGUGGCUGGCAGCAGAGCAUGGGAUGUUCUUACGCCCAACUGAUGGAGAAUGGAUGACAACAAUGCCUGAGCAUCUGAACAUGGAUUGGGUCGACAGUGUAAAGCAUGUUUUUGAGUACUUCACAGAAAGAACCCCAAGAUCUCAUUUUGAACAUCGUGAAACAUCAUUUGUGUGGAACUACAAGUAUGCGGAUGUUGAGUUUGGGAGGCUCCAAGCAAGAGAUAUGCUGCAGCACCUGUGGACCGGUCCAAUCUCAAAUGCAGCUGUGGAUGUUGUUCAAGGGAGCCGGUCAGUUGAAGUUCGCUCUGUUGGAGUCACAAAGGGUGCGGCCAUUGAUCGUAUUCUAGGGGAGAUUGUUCACAGCAAAAGCAUGGUUACUCCGAUUGACUAUGUACUAUGUAUAGGCCACUUCCUAGGAAAGGACGAGGACAUCUAUGUGUUCUUCGACCCUGAAUACCCUUCUGAACCAAAAGUGAAACCGGAUGGUGCGUCGGUAUCCGUCGACAGGAGGCAGAACGGGCGGCCAUCCAACGGCCGGAGCAACUCGAGGAACUCGCAGGCGAGGAUACAGAAGCCUCAGGUCGCGCCGCCGCCUCCGGAGAGGUCAUCGUCCUCGUCCGACCACAGCACCGCAAACAACAACAGCCACCACGACUGGCGCGAAGGGUCGUCGGUGCUGGACCUCAACGGUGACAACUACUUCUCGUGCGCCGUCGGGAGGAAGCGCUCCAACGCCCGUUACCUGCUCAACUCGUCGGAGGACGUCGUCUCCUUCCUCAAGGAGAUGGCCGAGUCGACGACGCCCCGUGCCGGUGGCCUCCCCCCCGGCGCCGCCGCUGAUUACAUGUUCUUGGAUAGGCAGUAA